rfam:Schistosoma mansoni strain Puerto Rico chromosome 6, complete genome
AUCCAGCUCACGAGUCCCAAAUAGGACGAAACGCGCGUCCUGGAU